GUCUCCCAUCACCAUGAUCACCUGCCAGAUAUUAGUUAGCAUAUAUUUGUAAUGUGAGUCAGGCCAAAUAUUUGAAAACAAUGUAUGUGUUGCGGGACAAUAAAGACUGUCACUGUACAGAAUUUUUUAGUCUGUAUUAUGAUUAUGGUGACCAUAUAAUUGCUUAUAGUAAGUUAUAGUAAAUGUACCUGAGAAACAGACUCGCAUACAAAAAAUUUACAUGUACAUUAACCAUUGAAGAACGUUGAAAAUGAGGUCAAUUUCAAGACAGACAGUCCCAAGUCAGGAGCCUGUAAUUCAGUGGUUGUCGUUUAUUUAUGUGUUUGUUUUCAUAUUUGUUUUUAAUUCAUUUUUUGUACAUAUAAUUAGGCUGUUAGUUUUCUCGUUUGAAUUGUUUUACAUUGUCAUUUCAAGGCCGUUCAUAGCUGACUAUGCGGUAUGGGCUUUGCUCCUUGUUGAAGGCCGUACAGUGACCUAUAGUUGUGAAUUUCUGUGUCAUUUUUGUGUCUUGUGGAAAGCUGUCUCAUUGGCAAUCAUACCACAUCUUUUUUAUAUGUACACCUUACAAUCAUUCAAUAUUCCCAAUAGAAUAAAUAUCAUACACAAGUAUUUAUAUCUAAAGUUACUUAGAGAACAGAAAAUAAUAUUGAGACAUAUGGACAAGGCCAAGGGUUACACUUAAUGCCCCCUUCACAGCAGCAGGGUCAUAAAAUUAAUAUAUUUUUUUAAUUGCUGAAUACAUGUACUAGUUGUGUAAUGUUUUAUGACUUUUAUCAAUUCACACCUUCUUUUGCCAAAGCAGAACUUGCACAUAGGUAUAGAUUUUCAUAACAGACAAGAGAUACACAACAGCAAUCCCAAUAUGUUGUAUAUAUCUAAAUCUGCUUGCAAAUUUGCCAUGACCUAGAUGCAACAAUGUCGGAUGUCAAAUGCAUCAAUUUUG
rnacentral:lncRNA from 1 species